ACGGGGUGUUUUCACAUAGGUAGGUUUGGGUUUGUCAGAAACAUGUCUGACAAAUAUGUGACGAGCAGAUAAAAAGAGAACUUAGGACGAGGGCAAAGCAGCAGGAAACGUUCUUCAGUCCAGCUGUUGAUUUGGUGUCGGGAGCAGAACAUCUGUAGCAUUUCAGGAUUCACUGGGUGUCCCGUUGUCUCAUUACAGCUGACGUCUGUGUUGCAGUCAUUUAUUUCCAUGUUGUUUCAUUAAAGUUUGGACACUUGUAUCCAAAUAUGAUGGAGGCCCAGUUAGAGUUGAAUGAUGGCUCUCUACCUUGAGUGUUGUCUUUCUCUGGAGUGUAUUUGGCACUAACAGAGUGAAUACUUCCUGACCUGUUGACUAACUGCCUCUACUUUUUUUUCUUACAGGAAGGUGGAGAGAAUGGCACGCCACGAUGAGAUCAGGAGGAAGUAUGGUCUGAUGGGCGACACGGACCACCCGUACAGCAAGUUCGAGAACGAGUAAAGCAGCUGCAAUGGAGGACGUCCACGGGCCGCGGCUCUCACGGCUUUGCUUUUAGCUCCGAGUGAUUUUCUCCCACGCAGUGCUGCAGAGCAGCAGCUGUCCGGUGAUCUCGUUCAGACGUCAAACCUGAUUGAAAAUAUUCUGAAUUAGUUUAGCUUUGUGAUUCUUUAUGAGGGCAGUCGUGUGUGUUUAGUUAAAUCUUGUUUUUAAACUUUCUGCAAACCUUUUUUCUCUCUUUUUAAAUGUUGGACUCUCACAUCAAUCUUUGCACUUUGUACAUACGUUGAUUAAACAGUGAUGACUGUGUGUGUUUCGAUUCAUUAAUAAACCUCUUUAAGCUUUU